rnacentral:rRNA from 1 species
AGAGUUUGAUCCUGGCUUAGGAUGAACGCUAGCUACAGGCUUAACACAUGCAAGUCGAGGGUAGCAGGGUAGCAAUACCGCUGACGACCGGCGCACGGGUGAGUAACACGUAUCCAACCUUCCCAUAACUCAGGGAUAGCCUUUCGAAAGAAAGAUUUAAUACCUGAUGGUACCUUUUUCUGGGCAUCCAGUUAAGGUUAAAGAUUUAUCGGUUAUGGAUGGGGAUGCGUUCCAUUAGAUUGUUGGUGAGGUAACGGCUCACCAAGUCUUCGAUGGAUAGGGGUUCUGAGAGGAAGGUCCCCCACAUUGGUACUGAGACACGGACCAAACUCCUACGGGAGGCAGCAGUGAGGAAUAUUGGUCAAUGGGCGAGAGCCUGAACCAGCCAAGUAGCGUGAAGGAAUGAAGGUCCUAUGGAUUGUAAACUUCUUUUAUAACAGAAUAAAGUGAGCCACGUGUGGUUUUUUGUAUGUAUGUUAUGAAUAAGGAUCGGCUAACUCCGUGCCAGCAGCCGC